AGUGAACGCUGGCGGUAGGCCUAACACAUGCAAGUCGAACGGCAGCACAGUAAGAGCUUGCUCUUACGGGUGGCGAGUGGCGGACGGGUGAGGAAUACAUCGGAAUCUACUUUUUCGUGGGGGAUAACGUAGGGAAACUUACGUUAAUACCGCAUACGACCUACGGGUGAAAGCAGGGGAUCUUCGGACCUUGCGCGAUUGAAUGAGCCGAUGUCGGAUUAGCUAGUUGGCGGGGUAAAGGCCCACCAAGGCGACGAUCCGUAGCUGGUCUGAGAGGAUGAUCAGCCACACUGGAACUGAGACACGGUCCAGACUCCUACGGGAGGCAGCAGUGGGGAAUAUUGGACAAUGGGCGCAAGUCUGAUCCAGCCAUACCGCGUGGGUGAAGAAGGCCUUCGGGUUGUAAAGCCCUUUUGUUGGGAAAGAAAAGCAGCAGGUUAAUACCCCGCUGUUCUGACGGUACCCAAAGAAUAAGCACCGGCUAACUUCGUG
rnacentral:rRNA from 1 species